AGCCUCCUAACUAGCCUUUAAACCAAAACCAACCACACAAAUAUUAAUAACCCCUCACACUCUAAACCCCAAAUAAACAAAACAUUUUUUCCCCUAGUAUCGGCGAGAGAAAAGAAUAAACAUAGCGCUAUAAAAAUAGUACCGCAAGGGAAAGCUGAAAGAGAAAUGAAAUAAAUAAUAAAGCCUGAAAAAGCAGAGAUACUACCUCGUACCUUUUGCAUCAUGAAUCAGCAAGAAAAAUCUAGCAUAGAGCCCUUUAGUUAGAAACCCCGAAACCGGACGAGCUACUCCAAGACAGCCUUUUAAUAGGGCAAACCCUUCUCUGUGGCAAAAGACUGGAAAGAACUUUGAGUAGAGGCGAAAAACCUACCGAGCCCGGUUAUAGCUGGUUGCCUGCAAAAUGAAUAAAAGUUCAGCCCUACACCCCCUCAAACCAAAUGAAGUAAACCCGAGACGUUAAUGAGAGAAGACGUAGGAGUUAGUCAAAAGAGGUACAGCCCUUUUGACAGAGGACACAACCUUCAGCACCAGGUACAGAUUAUAGCUCAUAAAGGCAUAAUGAGAAAGUAGGCCUAAAAGCAGCCAUCAACAAAGAAAGCGUUAAAGCUCCCCAUUUAAUAACCACUAAUACUAACAAACCCAUCUCACCCUGAGCAAUUAUAGCAGCCUGUCCUAUCUUUAUAGAAGUAAUUAUGCUGAUAUGAGUAAUAAGAGGGCAAGCCCCUCUCUUUGCAUAAGUAUACAUCAGAACGAACUCACACCGAAAAUCAACGAACUCAAAACCAGAGAGCCACAGGCCACAAAAAGAGAACAAGAAAAACACCCGCCUACACACCGUUAACCUUACACAAGAAUGCUUACAAAGAAAGACUUAGAGGAAGAGAAGGAAUUCGGCAAACACAAGCCUCGCCUGUUUACCAAAAACAUCGCCUCUUGCAAAACAACAUAAGAGGUCCCGCCUGCCCUGUGACUUUCAGUUUAACGGCCGCGGUAUUUUGACCGUGCGAAGGUAGCGAAACCACUUGUCUUUUAAAUGAAGACCUGUAUGAAUGGCACAACGAGGGCUUAACUGUCUCCUCUCCCAAGUCAAUGAAAUUAAUCCCCCCGUGCAGAAGCGGGGAUAAGACCAUAAGACGAGAAGACCCUAUGGAGCUUUAGACCCAAAGCAGACUAAGUCAACACCCUUAAACAAAAGAAUAAACCAAAAACCUCCUGCCCAAGUGUCUUUGGCUGGGGCGGCCGCGGGAAAAACAAAACUCCCACAUGGAACGGAAAAACACUUCUAAAACCAAGAGUGACAACUCUAACAAACAGAACCUCUGACCUUAUGAUCCGGCAAUGCCGAUCAACGAACCAAGUUACCCUAGGGAUAACAGCGCAAUCCUCUUAUAGAGUCCCUAUCGACAAGAGGGUUUACGACCUCGAUGUUGGAUCAGGGUAUCCUAAUGGUGCAGCCGCUAUUAAGGGUUCGUUUGUUCAACGAUUAAAACCCUACGUGAUCUGAGUUCAGACCGGAGCAAUCCAGGUCAGUUUCUAUCUAUGAAAUGACUUUUUCCAGUACGAAAGGACCGAAAAAGAGAGGCCAAUACUAAAAGCACGCCUCCUCCCAACCCGAUGCAACCAACUAAAACAGACAAAGGGACAUACCCAUACCCCUAAAAACAAGGCAU
rnacentral:rRNA from 1 species